AGGUGUCCCUGCUGCAGUCACAGCUGGCCCGAGACCGACAGCACCACCAGCAGAACUACAUUGAGAGCUGUUCAAGGACCAGCCAGGAGCUGUCAGACCUUCACCAGGAGCUGUCCUGCUCCUUUGCAGCUGUGCUCAAGGAGCCCAAAGCUGCUCUUGUGGAAGCAGAGACUUGAAGCUGCAUCAGUCUCUGAAUCUUAACUUGGCAGGGACAUCCUUGGGCCAUCAGUCUCUGGAGAGACAGGCCCUGGAGAAGGCAGGUGCAGCUCUUGUGCACAGAGGAUUUGUGCCCUGCUCAGAAGGCAGUUCCUGUCAACUGGGGCACAGAAAUCCUCCCUAGGACACAGACAAACACUAUCAAAGAUGAGGGCAAAAAACACCUGCCAAAGCUCUUCCAAGCAGACCCAUUUGGUUCUUGAAGGUCUGUUCCUAGUGAGGAAUCUUUGAUGUAAGCAGCAGGAUUUUUCUUCUGCCUAGAAGACCUAGUGAUAUAUUCGCAAACAGAGAGCAGAGCAGGAAAAACAUGCACUUGUGGCUGUCUCAGGAUUCUUAAUCCAUUUUAUGAGCUGACGCUGCUCUUGGCCGCCCCGGAGCUCUGGGCUGGCUCCACAGUGCCCAGGGUCCAAUGGGAGCUCGCGGAGGGAGGGGUAAGGGGAGGAGGUUACAAUACCAGGGACCAAUGGGGAUACAAAGAAGGCGGGAAUACAACAUAACAACCAAUAGUGUUUUGAGGAAGGGAUGACAUACAUGGAAGGAGCUGGAAGGAGAGGUGGGGUUUACAGGGAUGGAUGGGGAGCUGGGGCAGGGUAAAGGUGAUUGACGGGGAACAUUCAGAAAAACUGGGAGGGGUUUACAUGACAGACAAAUGGAACCAACCAAAGCAGUAAAUGGGAGACAACCAGGAACAUAUCAAACAGACGAAAUACUAACAAUUUUAACAGAACUGAAUAAACAUACUACAACAAUGAGCCUUAAACACUGCAGCUCUAGGCAUUUCUGUGUAGGAAUUUGAAAAGUCCCUGAAACACCAUUUUUCCUCCUCAGGUGGCUGUCCUAAAGGCAAAGCUUUACUUUCCGUGAAUAUUUAUAAACACCAAGAACCUUUUUAGGAUUUUUCUUACAUCUCCCCUUGGUCAGAGAAGACAGGAGAAUUCCUGUGACUCAGGAACUAAUCGCAUCCCAGAAGAGCAUGUGGGUCUUGAGAAUGCUGAGCCUUAAAACUGGUGCUGCCUGGAGCAGCAACUUGGAACUCAUGUUAUGAGCCAGGUCCCUGCCCAGCUGCCCAGCUUGGGCUUGGACCUUGUGACGGCCAACAGCACUUUGAUCGUGUGCUAGUGACCCUGCAAAGGCCAAGAACGUUUGAAUAUUUGGGUUAGGACCCGGCAAAGGCCAAAAGCCUUUGGACACUGGGGUUAAACCCUGCGAAGGCCAAGGGCCUUUGGACACUGCACUUUGGACACUGUUUGUGCCAAGGAGCGGAUGGACACGCGACGGGGAGCUCGAGGUCUUUCUCACCAGGGACAAUCCUCCCGAGCCCCUGAGUUGCUGUGAAAACAUUGAGAAGUCCAGGGAAAAGCUGCAGCAAUGCAUGGGAAUCCCAGAGCCAGGAGCCUUGUGGCUGCGUCAAAGGAACACCGAGCAGCAGAAGGAAACGUCACCCCAGGUGGAAAAGGCCCAGCAGCAGGACAGGAUGGAGGUUUCCCAGGAGCAAGAGUCAUCGAGCAGGGCUCUGGAGCAGCUGCACCAGCAAUCCUCUGGCCAAGGGCAACCACUGGCCCAGGUGCACAGAGAGAAGGAGCUGCUGGGCCAGGAGAAGGCUGCCCUUAAGGGACGACUGACAGCUAUGGAGCAGCAGCGACAAGAGCUAGCAAGCAGAUGGCAGAGACCAGGUCAGCAAAGGAGAGCCUGGAAUCCAGCCUGUCUGCUGCUCAGCAGCAGAUAUCUCAGCUGGAGAUGAGCAGGAACCAUCUGGAGGCUCAAGUGCUCAGAGUCACACAGGCCAAGGCAGUGGUAGAAGGCAAGUGAACGUGAAAGGCACCGUGCUAAGAUGCUGGAACAAUGGCAAGAAGAGAAGGCAAAGAGAGAGCGGGAACACGAGAAGGUGCUGCUUGAGCUGAGGCAGAAAGUUGCCACCCUGCAGGCCCAACAACAAGACGAACAAACUAGAUUUGAAAAAGCCAAGCGACAGGUGCUGCAGGAAGAGCAGAAUGAGAAGAGGGCUUUAACAGAGACACUGCUCCAAACUCGGGGACAGCUCAGCCAAGUGUGCCAGCAGGUCCAGCAGCUCAGGCAGGAGGUGAAAGAGCAGCAAGAGAAGGGACAGACCAUCAAGGCAAAGCUGCAAGCUGAGCUGCAGGAAGCUCACAAUGAAAUGCUGGCAGUGCAGAGGAGGCACAAGGAAGAACUUCAGGGCAUCAGAGAGAGGAGAUGAAUGUCCUCCUUGAGCAGAGGGAUGCUCUACAAAAGCAGGUGGAAGAGUUGACAUCUCAGCUGGCAGCCUCCCGAGAGUUCCUGGAAAGCAGAGUCCAGAGAGCCCAGCAAUAUGUGAGCGAGGCCCAGGCACAGUCAAGGCAGAAGCAAUUGGAGGCUGAACACAUCCAGAAGAGGCUGGAGGAGGCAGAACAUCAGAAGAAGGAGCUCCAAGUGAAGCUGCAGAAACUGGAGAGGGAAUGGAGUGAAUGCAAAGAAGUGGCACUGGAAAAUUUUGAAUUGCAGGCUUCCGUGAAUGUCCUAGAGAGGGAAAGAGACAGGUAAAUGAAAGCCUGUGGGACUCUGCAAUGUGGUGAAUGCAUUCCCUCUUUGCCAUCUUUGC